UACGUAGGGUGCAAGCGUUGUCCGGAAUUAUUGGGCGUAAAGAGCUCGUAGGCGGUUUGUCGCGUCGGAUGUGAAAACCCAGGGCUCAACCCUGGGCCUGCAUUCGAUACGGGCAAACUAGAGUAUGGCAGGGGAGACUGGAAUUCCUGGUGUAGCGGUGAAAUGCGCAGAUAUCAGGAGGAACACCGGUGGCGAAGGCGGGUCUCUGGGCCAAAACUGACGCUGAGGAGCGAAAGCGUGGGGAGCGAACAGG
rnacentral:rRNA from 1 species